GCCAUCCUAGUUUUAGUUGGCAAUAGUGAUAUUGUUGAAGGCGUUGUCUGUAGUUCGAAAAAAUUGCUCAGGAAUGAAAACCGCCUGAUCUUCACGCGAUGGAUCAUGGCCACACAGAGCGUGUUGCUUCAUUCAUGGAGGCAAAUGAUGUUUUAGUGGUGCAAGGAACUGGAGAUUAUGUUGGUGCAUUCUUGGAGGCGCUGCCUGCGCACCCGGACGUGCUCGUCCGCCCUACUACAUAAAAGAUGAAUUAAAUACGUUAUUAAUCAACUCUCAAAUUGUUCAUUUGGCAGCAAAAACUUGACAGGUGGGUGUGGAUGCGUCACCGGGAUAACACGUAGGCAAAAACAUGCCAUGUAGGCAGCUUACGUGUACAAUUAGCGCUUACGUGUAAAUAAAACGGAGCAGCACUAUUGCAAAAUUAGCUCUUUGUUUAUUUAUUACUCCUUUUAUAAUUGGGCUUGCUACGUAGGUUGCUUAUAUUGCCGAAGAAAUUUUGACGGAGAAUCAUAAAGGGUUCUUAUACUGCUUAUCUCCUUCACCUAAUGUAGCAGGAACAAAUAGGGAGAUGAAAAGGGAACGAACAGGCCUGCUUGCUGCGUGUGGCUGUGUUGCAGCGCUGGAGAGGAGCACCAGCACAUGGAGGUGCUACCGCGCCGGAGCUUCUUGGGCUGCGGCGACCGGCGAGCUUGACGCACAGCUGGAGGUAGUGGUAGUCAUGGUGGAAGGUGGUGCAGCUGGAGCUUCGAUGCUGAAAUCCCGUCGCGGGGGAGCUUGGCUGGGCGAAGGAGGGCCGGCGCGGCUAUAGGGGGAAGUGGAGAAGGUUUGUGCAGCGGCGAUUUGAUUUUGCUUGAGGGAAGCGGCGUGAAUCUUGGCCAGAGGUGGCUCUGCUCGUUUCAGUCCGAGGAAGAAGAAAUGAGGACCAGGAAGGGGGAUGAGGAGGAGACCGGCCAGCUUGCGAAGGAGAUAGCCGCGGAAGUUGCCGUCC
rnacentral:lncRNA from 1 species